rnacentral:rRNA from 1 species
ACGGGGGGUGCAAGCGUUGUUCGGAAUCAUUGGGCGUAAAGCGCGUGUAGGCGGCUUGGUAAGUCAGGUGUGAAAGCCCUGGGCUCAACCCAGGAAGUGCACUUGAAACUGCCUUGCUUGAGUACGGGAGAGGAAAGCGGAAUUCCUGGUGUAGGGGUAAAAUCCGUAGAUCUCAGGAGGAACACCGGUGGCGAAGGCGGCUUUCUGGAACAAUUCCGACGCUGAGACGCGAAAACGUGGGGAGCAAACAG